rnacentral:rRNA from 1 species
GGAUGAACGCUAGCUACAGGCUUAACACAUGCAAGUCGAGGGGCAGCAUGGGAGUUGCUUGCAACUCUGAUGGCGACCGGCGCACGGGUGAGUAACGCGUAUCCGACCUUCCCCCAGGUAGGGAACAGCCCGGCGAAAGUCGGAUUAAUGCCCUAUAGUCUGCGAAUUGCGCAUGUUGUUUGCAGUAAAGAUUUAUCGCCUUGGGAUGGGGAUGCGUCUGAUUAGCUUGUCGGCGGGGUAACGGCCCACCGAGGCAACGAUCAGUAGGGGUUCUGAGAGGAAGGUCCCCCACACUGGUACUGAGACACGGACCAGACUCCUACGGGAGGCAGCAGUGAGGAAUAUUGGUCAAUGGGCGUGAGCCUGAACCAGCCAAGUAGCGUGCAGGAACCGACGGCCCUAUGGGUUGUAAACUGCUUUUAUGCGGGGAUAACGUGCGCCACGUGCUGGUGUAUUGCAGGUACCGCAUGAAUAAGGACCGGCUAAUUCCGUGCCAGCCGCUGC